CGUUGGAUAACUCUAGGCCCUCUAGUGGGGAAUAACUAUCCGCACAAGGGAUGGCUAAUACCGCAUGAGGCCACAUGUCUCUUAGGAGACUAGAGGUUAAAUGAUUUAUCGCUAGAGGAUGAGUCUUGCGUGGGAUUCAGCUAGUUGGUGAGGUAACGGCUCACCUAAGGCUACUGAUCUCUAACAGGUCUGAGAGGAUGACCUGUCACACUGGGAACUGAGACACGGUCCAGACUCCUACGGGAGGGCAGCAGUAGGGAAUUUUGCGCAAUGGGGGAAACCCUGACGCAGCAACUGCCGCGUGGAGGAUGAAAUCCCUUGGGAUGUAAACUCCUUUCGAUCGGGAAGAUAAUGACGGUACCGAGAGAAGAAGCCCCGGUAACUUCGUGCCAGCAGCCGCGGUAAUACGUAGGGGGCCAGCGUUGCUCGGAAUUACUGGGCGUAAAGGGUCUGUAGGCGGUGCGGCAAGUCGAUAGUGAAAUCCCUAGGCUUAACCUAGGGGCUGCUAGCGAAACUGCCGUGCUAGAGUGUGAGAGAGGCGAGUGGAAUUACGGGUGUAGCGGUGAAAU
rnacentral:rRNA from 1 species